UGGAUGGUAGCCUGCAGAAACGCCCGAAGGGGAAACUAUUGAUGCGAGAAUUGUACUAUGUAAUGUCAUAACAUCUCUCAUCAAAAACUACUUAAAACAACCCAACGACAUUUCCGUCAGGUCCAAGCCUCAUAACCCAUUACAAAUUACACAAUCGUUUCGGCAACAGCUUUGUAGAGCGUUGCCAGGACCGAGGUGAUUAAAAUUGAGCACGAACUUCACUUUGGUCUGCGUCUGACGAUGGGUUUGAGAAUCAUACUACGUACGGCAGUGGAAGCCUUCUAGUCACGUGAUAUUCCUCUGACGUAAUCCGAUCAGUCAGCGAUUCACGAUAAGGUGAACUUACCAUAAUACGAAGACAAAACAAAGUGGUUUCUUGACUUUCAAAACGUGAGCUGUACUCGCUGCAAAAAGGAGUUAGACGUACAUUUUAUAUGUGCAAUUAACCUGACAAGAAAGACAAAAUUAAGAUGGAGUUUAUGGGAAAUCAUCCAAGACAGACUAUGCACUGUACAUAUGUAAUUGUCCUACUUCGCUAACGAACUUUGAUGUAGCAUCACUUAAUGUCUUUAACAUUGGCGUUGGAUAGGCAUAAAAUAAGGACAUUCUAUUGGCCAUUUCAUUUGACACUUGGACAUCAUUUUCAUCCAUGUCAUUAUCGUCCUAAGACAAGGAGUUGCAUCGUCAUCUGGUAAAAACAAAGUGAAAAUCAACAAGGAAGCCCGACCUUUAGGUCAUCAAAUUUUAAUGUGAAAUGAAGGAUAUCGGCAAACUGUUUAGCAAGUGCCUGAAACAAAGACAUUCCCAAUUCACCAUUGACCAAACUAUCAAUUAGGAAACAUUAUUUCUCAUGCAAAAACACUGAAUAAACCUGCUGCUGUUCCAAAUGUUCGACUGGUGUUAGAUUUCCCGAGCAUAAAGCAUUCAGCAGUUGAGAAUACAGGCUAGUCAAUGCUGAUGUCACAGAAUAGUGCCAGUGGAAAGAGACAUUUGUAACAAAGUUAUGGUAGUAUAGAUGUUUGUAUGAAUAAUUCACGACCAGAUAUUGUGGGAAACUAAGGUCAACAAAAUUGAUGAAUUCAUAGUGGAGAUAACCAACCCAA